rnacentral:rRNA from 1 species
GACAUAGGUCGCAAACGUUAUCCGGAAUUAUUGGGCGUAAAGGGCGCGUAGGCGGCUAGAUGUGUCAAAGGUGAAAUCCCUCGGCUCAACUGAGGAACUGCCUUUGAAACUGUCUGGCUUGAGGCCGGGAGAGGGUAGCGGAAUUCCCAGUGUAGCGGUGAAAUGCGUAGAUAUUGGGAGGAACACCAGUGGCGAAGGCGGCUACCUGGACCGGUUCUGACGCUGAGGCGCGAAAGCGUGGGUAGCAAACAGG